UACGGGGGGGGCAAGCGUUGUUCGGAAUUACUGGGCGUAAAGGGCUCGUAGGCGGUUCUUUAAGUCAGGCGUGAAAGCCCUGGGCUCAACCUGGGAGUGGCGCUUGAUACUGGAGGACUAGAGAGUGGGAGAGGUUGGUGGAAUUCCCAGUGUAGAGGUGAAAUUCGUAGAUAUUGGGAAGAACACCGGUGGCGAAGGCGGCCAACUGGACCAUUUCUGACGCUGAGGCGCGAAAGCGUGGGGAGCAAACAGG
rnacentral:rRNA from 1 species